rnacentral:rRNA from 1 species
AUACGGAGGGUCCGAGCGUUAAUCGGAAUUACUGGGCGUAAAGCGUACGUAGGUGGCUUGAUUAGUCGGAUGUGAAAGCCCCGGGCUCAACCUGGGAACUGCAUUCCAAACUGCAGGACUAGAGUAUGGUAGAGGGAGGUAGAAUUUCCUGUGUAGCGGUGAAAUGCGUAGAUAUAGGAAGGAAUACCGAUGGCGAAGGCAGCCUCCUGGACCAAUACUGACGCUGAGGUGCGAAAGCGUGGGGAGCAAACAGGAUUAGAAACCCGGGUAGUCC